UACAGAGGUGGCAAGCGUUGUUCGGAAUUACUGGGCGUAAAGGGCGCGUAGGCGGCCUUCUAAGUCAGAGGUGAAAUCCCCGGGCUUAACCUGGGAACUGCAUUUGUGACUGCAAGGCUGGAGUGCGGCAGAGGGGGAUGGAAUUCCGCGUGUAGCAGUGAAAUGCGUAGAUAUGCGGAGGAACACCGAUGGCGAAGGCAAUCCCCUGGGCCUGUACUGACGCUCAUGCACGAAAGCGUGGGGAGCAAACAGG
rnacentral:rRNA from 1 species